UUGUUGAUAUAUUGAUUAUGAAGAUUGAUUCUGUCUUUUGAAAUUUAUUUUUAUGGAUUAGCUUUUAUAUAAUAUUAAAUACUAGUUUUUGCUUGGUCUGUUCUUUGUCUUAAUGAUGGGGAUUAGUUUUAAUUGUAGUUUUUAGUUUUGGGUAUCAAAUAAUUUUGGAUUCAGUUAAUAUAUUUAGGAUUGUUCAAGGUUGUGCCAGCAAACGCGGUUAUACAAUCAAUCCAUGUUAAUUUUUUUGGUUAUUUAUU
rnacentral:rRNA from 1 species